rnacentral:rRNA from 1 species
GACGAACGCUGGCGGCGUGCCUAAUACAUGCAAGUCGAGCGAAGUUUUUCUGGUGCUUGCACUAGAAAAACUUAGCGGCGAACGGGUGAGUAACACGUAAAGAACCUGCCUCAUAGACUGGGACAACUAUUGGAAACGAUAGCUAAUACCGGAUAACAGUAUUUCUCGCAUGAGAGAUAUUUAAAAGUUGGUUAUGCUAACACUAUGAGAUGGCUUUGCGGUGCAUUAGCUAGUUGGUGGGGUAAAGGCCCACCAAGGCGACGAUGCAUAGCCGACCUGAGAGGGUGAUCGGCCACACUGGGACUGAGACACGGCCCAGACUCCUACGGGAGGCAGCAGUAGGGAAUCUUCCGCAAUGGGCGAAAGCCUGACGGAGCAACGCCGCGUGAGUGAAGAAGGAUUUCGGUUCGUAAAGCUCUGUUGUUAGGGAAGAAUGGAUAUGUAGUAACUAUACAUA